GGCACUGGUCUGUCUAUGAAACAACAGAAUUUUGAAAACAUAAAAGCUGGAUAUGCAUUCUACUGUGUCCAUUCUUGAAUAAUGAAUUGGGUUAAAACAGUCAAGCCAUGUAUGUUCAAGAAAUAAAGGACUUCAUUUCAUGAAGUUCCAGCAAUCCAUAUUGUAUUCUUCAAGGCUAGGCUUUGCAUUGGAGCUCUGGAGCAAAAAGAUGUUCUGUUUCUUCUGUGGUUGGCAGGCUCUCUCUCAUGACAAAUUAUUACAGGCAUUUCAGAAGAGCAGGAAGACAUGCUGGCUGGCUGACUGAUAGUUGGGACCUAUCAACCUAUCUAUAGUGCAAUGCUAACACUUCUUGACACAAGCUAUUGCCAGUUGAGGGAUGCUUCAAAUAUAUUUCAUUUUGCCUGGAGACUGGAGUUCAGUAGAAACAUUUUAAAAGAUGGAUCUUGUUGUUCUCAGUUUAAAGCGAUUUUUAUCCUAUUGAUAUGGGUUCUGCAUAUAUAAGGCUUAUAUCGAGGCAGUGUAAGAAUGUAUAAUUUAUGUUGUCUUACUGCCAUAGUAUGAAUAACAGUCUUUAUGUUUCUGUACUAGUGUAUAUAGAUUUUGUCCUAAAUCAAGUUAAAAAAAAAAAAAAAAAAAAAAAAAAAAAAGCUUUGGUAGUGGCUGAGUUUGUGUUUUAGCUCUACUUCUCCAAAUGAGCAUUUGAUGAAAAUUGAUCGAAACAGAUUCCUUAGAAAAGAUGCAUAGAUGCAUUUUUUGUUGGGGUGACAUCUGAAAAAUGAAGAUUUUUUAAAAUUAUUUUUAUUAUUUUUCUUAUUAUUCCUACUGCUUUCCUUUGAGACAUUGUAACCACUGUCAGGAACUCAGCAGUUUUCAAUAAUUAAGAUGAAUGUUUGGAGUGAAGGCUAAAAGUUUACCAAGGAAGGCAAGUUUAGUAUGCUCACUGACCGAAAGCUCUUGUUAAACUACGACUCUCAAAAUGUGCUUCUGACCUCCUGCCUCUCUUUUUAAUAUUUGAUAUCAUUCCCUAUUAUAUACAUUGUUGGAUAUAUAAUGUAAGCAAAAUGUGCUUAUUUAUCUUGCAGAAUUAUAUUAUAUGUAAUAUUGUUGUCAUUAUUCCUGUGUGACUUCAUAUCUUUAAUUCACUUGUGUGACUGUUCCUGUUGCGGGGAAUUUCUCUCCAAUUCCUAAAUGUCACCGCAUAUGUGUCUUCUAGCAACUAUGACUAAAUUUUUGGACCAGUUUUCCAUCUUUGGACCUUCCAUCUCUGUCACUUAUAACUGUUCACACACUUCUAAUUUGUCCUUAAGGAUUAAUGAGUUUAAACUCAUUAAACUAGAUUUUUGUCUUGCAGUAUCCUGUCCCUCUUUUACAUCUUACUAUCUUGUUUGUUUUACCAACUUGUUCAUGGCAGUCUCAGGAUGUGAGUUCUCCUGAAAGAAUCUGUGGAUUAUUCUGCAUACAAGAACUAAAUAUUUUUUAAUAUCUAUUACAAGAGUUCAGCAUUCAAAACAGACUUAGAUUUAAAAAAAUGAAAACAUUUUAAAUUGAAAGGAUUACUGAUAACCUGCCUCACAUGCUUCUGAAUUACUUGGUUUGUUCUGCAGGCAAAUGUGUGUUUUUGUGGUAGGAAAAGAAGGAAGUUACCAUAGUAACUGUCAUACAAUCCAGUGUGGUGCUUAUGUUACUGUACCUCUGAGAAAAUACAAAGCUACCUUCUUAAUCCCUUUAGUGUUCCUGGUUGAAUGGUGUAUGCCUUGUAAAGUGGCACUUGUAGGUCCCUUGGCUGUAUACUCUAUUUCCCAUCUCCUCCUCAGUAAAGUAAUGGGCCCCUUAUAAGUAGUAAGGGAUAAAAAAACAGCCCAACAUUUAAAGACAGAAACUUAGUGCUCCACUUGAAAAACACACAACUUUACCCCAGACUAUAAUGACUGUGA